rnacentral:rRNA from 1 species
GACGUAGGGCGCGAGCGUUGUCCGGAUUUAUUGGGCGUAAAGAGCUCGUAGGCGGCUUGUCGCGUCGUUCGUGAAAACCUGCAGCUCAACUGCAGGCUUGCGGUCGAUACGGGCAGGCUAGAGUUCGGUAGGGGAGACUGGAAUUCCUGGUGUAGCGGUGAAAUGCGCAGAUAUCAGGAGGAACACCUAUGGCGAAGGCAGCUCGCUGGGCCACUACUGACACUGAGAAGCGAAAGCAUGGGGAGCGAACAGG